rnacentral:rRNA from 1 species
GACAGCAGUCGCCGCGGGAAUACAGAGGGUGCGAGCGUUAAUCGGAUUUACUGGGCGUAAAGCGUGCGUAGGCGGCUUUUUAAGUCGGAUGUGAAAUCCCUGAGCUUAACUUAGGAAUUGCAUUCGAUACUGGGAAGCUAGAGUAUGGGAGAGGAUGGUAGAAUUCCAGGUGUAGCGGUGAAAUGCGUAGAGAUCUGGAGGAAUACCGAUGGCGAAGGCAGCCAUCUGGCCUAAUACUGACGCUGAGGUACGAAAGCAUGGGGAGCAAACAGGAUUAGAGACCCCAGUAGUCCCUGUCUCUUAUAC